CGUCGGGUGAAAUUCAACGACCACGUGAGCGAAAUGCCGGCCAUUUUGAAAUUCAACGUGGGAAAAAAGAAUUUGCAGCCCCAAAAUGUGGAUAUUUUUUCUUCUUUUUUGACAGCAGUUUGGUAGACUUGAGGACUAUUCCUUGUGUCAGGAAACUAGCUGUAAUGAAUCUGUUUGCCUACAAGCAUCACUAAGAUGUGCUGGUACACCAUACAAAUUGAUGUAACUCCUUGUUCAGAUGACAUCAUGGCUACUGUCCCUUGUACAGGACACACUGGCGUGAUAUUACAUCUCAAGACUGCUGACAUACACCUACAUGUACAUGCGGUUAUGGAGCCUCUGCUAUUGGAUGAUCUGUAAUCAGCUACCUCUAACCUGAGGCUUGGUGAUGAUGCAGUUCUGAAAUGGUCAUCCAGUAGAUGUCGGGAGUCUGUGAUGUCAUUAUUUGAGGAAUUUCUACCCUCCAAGAUGGGGAAGACUCGAUGUCUGCCUCCCUUAGACUGAUUACAAAAUAAGCAAAUCCAUAGCAAUCUUUCUUCCACGUCAUCCCCCCCCAUCAAAAUGCACUUUGAGGAAGAACUUUGUGCAAUUCAAAUUUUCUUCUGUAGCCGUACAUGUAUGAAACUUGCACAUGUAACAAUUUCAAGACUUCAGGUUCUAUCAGUUGCUGUGGAUUUGCUCAGAGCUAAUUAAGUGACCAGCUCCAUUGAAAUCCGGAAUAGGUUGAGAAAUCACAGCUUCUUGAAAGACAGUCACAAAAAAAACUUUGGACCAUGAAUUGUGCCCACAAAUUUGUCAGACUGUGUCUAAACCUAUGAUUUGCGUUGCAGAUUACUUAGACUUCAUGACUGCAAAUCUUUUGCUAGUAUAUUUGUUAAUCAUAGUUACUAAAAGCAAACUUUUCCCUGUUAAAAGGGGAGCUGAGUGUUGUAUUUUUUGAAAUUUUGAUUUGAAUGGAGCAGGUCACAUCUUUUCCAAAGGUUGCUUGAAGCUUUUAACUAUGUAACACUUCACUCGGCACUGAAAAUGUCAUAUAAAUUUAUCAAUAAAAACAAAAUACAAGUUAUAAAAAAGAAUAAAUCCAGGCACAUGUUCAUGAAGGUUUUAAUUUGAAAGUUGUUUCACCCAUUUAAUGUCAGAUUUUCUUAUGCGAAAAAGCUACUGGGGUUUUUCUUACCUGUAAAUUCCUCAACCUUGCACUUGUGCUUUGACCCAACCAAGUACAAUGCAUUAAAACGUCAAUUGCGGAAAAGAAAAAAAGAAUUCUGAAAUGAGUGUACAUGCCCUCCGUGGAACAAAUAAGGAAAUUUGUGUUUACACAUAAUCUGGCGUCAAUUGGUUAAAGUUGCAUGGAGUGACUUCAAUUAAUCGAGUCAACUCGUUAACAGAGGACUUUCCAGCAAGUUGGAUAUUUUCUACAAGAUAAAAUGUGGAUUGGAUUACUGCUUUAUUGUUAACUGAAGACAUUUUUCAGUUAAAUAUAGAGUUUUUUGGAAAAGACUCAGCAUUGGAAAUGUAUAUUGAUGGGAAAACAUAGUUUACAAGUGUGAUUACUGUUUGCCCUUAUCUGCAAUAAGAAAUGAACAGUAACUUGGAGAUGAAUACA
rnacentral:lncRNA from 1 species